rnacentral:siRNA from 1 species
GGACCACAACACUAUCUGUCCCGA